rnacentral:rRNA from 1 species
UACGGAGGGUGCAAGCGUUAUCCGGAUUCACUGGGUUUAAAGGGUGCGUAGGAGGGCAGGUAAGUCAGUGGUGAAAUCUCCGAGCUUAACUUGGAAACUGCCGUUGAUACUAUCUGCCUUGAAUACUGUGGAGGUCAGCGGAAUAUGUCAUGUAGCGGUGAAAUGCUUAGAUAUGACAUAGAACACCAAUUGCGAAGGCAGCUGGCUACACAAAUAUUGACACUGAGGCACGAAAGCGUGGGGAUCAAACAGG